GGUCGCGUAACUCAGUUGGUUAGAGUGUCGUACUAAUACAUCCACCUUCAAUGUACACUGUAAAUGCGAAAGCCGAGAGUUCAAGCCUCUCCGUGACCA
rnacentral:tRNA from 1 species